CUAAUAUAUGGGCCAUAGUCCUGGAGCAAGAGGCUGGCAAGCAGGCACCUCCAAGAGCCCGCGACGAGGUUCAGUUCUUCACAGAAUGAAUUGAGCUGUCGUAGGUUGAUGACCAAACUGAAGUCUCCUGUUUUCUCUUGCACCAGGAAAAUGUUGCUGAAGAAACUGUCUUCAUCUUGAGCGUAUUGAAUCGCGACUUUUGUGAAAAGAGUUCGG